GAUGAACGCUGACAGAAUGCUUAACACAUGCAAGUCCACUGUGGCGGCCGGGUGAGUAACGCGUAGAGAACUGGCCUCACGGAUAGGGACAACAUUUGGAAACGACAGCUAAUACCUGAUACUGUGAGAGAGCUUGGCGGCACAUUAGCUAGUUGGAGAGGUAACGGCUCACCAAGGCGAUGAUGGGUAGCCGGCCUGAGAGUGUGAUCGGCCAAAAGGGGAAUGAGAGGCGGCCGUUAGGCAAUAGGGAGGAAGGAGGGGGGAAUAUUGGAAAAUGGACCACAGUCUGAUCAAGCAAUUCGGUGUGAAAGAUGAAGUUUUCAGAAUGAAAAGUGCGUUCAGUUGGGAAGCGGUACCAACAGAAGAAGUGACGGCUAAAUACGUGCCAGCAGCCGCGGUAAUAC
rnacentral:rRNA from 1 species